CUGAAGAACUGCUGCUUAGCCAGUCGGUCCCCAUCCUGUAGCAGUGCAUGGGAUUCUUCCGUCCAAAGUGCAGGACUCUCACUUGUCCUUGUUGAACCUCAUCAGAUUUCCUUUGGCCCAAUCCACUAAUGUGUCUAGGUCACUCUGGACCCUAUGCCUCCCCUUCUGCAUAUCUGCCUCUCACCCCAGCUUAGUGUCAUCUGCAAACUUGCUGAGGGUGCAAUCUAUCCCAUCAUCCAAUUCAUUAAUAAAUAUGUUGAACAAAACUGGCCCCAGGACUGACUCCUUGGGCACUGCGCUUAAUACUGGUUGCCAACUAGACAUUGAGCUGUUAAUCGCUACAUGUUAAGCCUGACAAUCUAGCCAGCUUUCUAUCCACCUUAUAGUCCAUUCAUCCAAUCUGUACUUUAACUUGCUGACAAGAAUACUGUGGGAGACCAUAUCAGAAGCUUUGCUAAACUCAAGAUAUAUCACAUCCACUGCUUUCCCCAUAUCCCCAGAGCCAGUUAUCUCAACAUAGUAGGCAAUGAGGUUGGUCAGGCAUGACUUGCCCUUGGUGAAUCCAUGCUGACUGUUCCUCAUCACCUUCCUUUCCUUCAAGGGCUUCAAAAUGGUUUCCUUGAGGACCUGCUCCAUGAUUUUUCCAGGGACUGAGGUGAGGAUGACCGGUCUGUAGUUCCCUGGGUUCUCCUUCCCUUUUUUAAAGAUGGGCAUUAUAUUUGCCUUUUUCCAGUCAUCCUGCACCUCCUCUGAUCGCCAUGAGUUUUCAAAGAUAAUGGCCAAUGGCUCUUCAAUCACAUCAGCCAAUUCCCUCAGCAUCCUCAGGUGCAUUAGAUCUGGACCCAUGGACUUAUGCAUGUCCAGUUUUUCUAAGUAGUCCUUAACCUGUUCUUUCACUGCUGAGGGCUGCUCACCUCCUCCCCAUACUGUGUUGCCCAGGACAGCAGUGUGGGAGCUGACUUUGGCCUGGUCUACACUAUGAGUUUAAUUCAAAUUUAGCAGCGUUUAAUUGAAUUAACCCUGCACCCAUCCACACAACGAAGCCAUUUUUUUCAAAAUAAAGGGCUCUUAAAAUCGAUUUCUGUACUCCUUCCCGAUGAGCAGAGUAGCGCCAUAAUCGAUAUUGCCAUUUUGAAUUAGGGUUAAUGUGGACGCAAUUCGAUGGUAUUGACCUCCGGGAGCUAUCCCACAGUGCACCAUUGUGACCGCUCUGGACAGCAGUCUGAACUUGGAUGCACUAGCCAGGUAGACGGGAAAAGCCCCGCGAACAUUUGAAUUUUAUUUCCUGUUUGCCCAGCGUGGAGAGCACAGGUGACCACAGAGAGCUCAUCAGCACAGAUAACCCUGGAGGCCGAUAAUCGAAAAAGAGCACCAGCAUGGACCGUAUGGGAGGUACUGGAUCUGAUGGCUAUAUGCGGAGAGGAUUCAGUGCUAGCAGAACUUCGUUCGAAAAGACGAAAUGCCAAAACUUUUGAAAAAAUCUCCAAGGGCAUGAUGGAGAGAGGCCACAAUAGGGACUCGGAUGGGUGCUGCGUGAAAGUAAAGGAGCUCAGAGAAGCCUAUCAAAAAACAAAGGAGGCAAGCGGUCGCUCCGGGUCCGAGCCGCGGACAUGCCGCUUCUACACCGAGCUGCAUGCAAUUCCAGGGGGGCGGUUGCCACCACUACCCCACCUCUGACCGUGGAUUCCGAGGUGGGGGUAAUCUUAUCAGCCACACCUGAGGUUUCUGUGGACGGGGAAGAGGAGGACGAGCUUGUGGAGCGGACACAGCACUCCAUUCUCCCCAACAGCCAGGAUCUUUUUCUCAGCCUGACUGAAGUACCCUCCUAAGCCAGUAUCCAGGACCAUGACCCCAUGGAAGAGACCUCAGCAGCUGCAAAUUUUUCAAGCCUCCCUCCUCCGUCCCUAAGGCUAUCUCAGAUAAGGUGUUGGAAAAAGAGGACGCAAGACAAGAUGUUCGCGGAAAUCAUAGAAUCCACCCGCAGUGAAAGAGCUCAUCUGAAUGAGUGGAAGGACACGGUUUCAAAGUAUAGGAAACAUGCCAGUGAACGUGAGGACAUGAGGGACCAACGUGAGGACAGGGGGGACCAAUGUGAGGAGAGGAGAGACGCUCGAGAUGAGAGGUGGCGGCAGGAAGAUCAGAGGAGGCACGUUUUCAUCAAGGAGAAACAAACACGAAUUUCACACUGUAGCCUGGCCAGUCAUGAAACUGGUUUACAAAGUUUCUCUGAUGCGCAGCGCUUCCUAGUGUGCUCUUCUAAUCGCCCUGGUGUCUGGCUGCACGUAAUCAGCAGCCAGGCAAUUUGCCUCAGCCUCCCACCCCGCCAUAAAGGUCUCCCUCUUACUUUCACAGAGAUUGUAGAGCACACAGCAAGUAGCAACAACAAGGGAGAUAUUGGUUUGGCUGAGGUCUGACCAAGUCAGUAGCGAUCGCCAGCGACCUUUUAAAGGUCCAAAUGUACAUUCUACCACCAUUCUGCACUUGCUCAGCCUGUAGUUGAACAGCUCCUGACUCCUGUCCAGGCUGCCUGUGUAUGGCUUCAUGAGCCAUGGUAUUAAGGGGUAGGCUGGGUCCCCAAGGAUAACUAUUGGCAUUUCAACAUCCCCAACAGUUAUUUUCUGGUCCGGGAAGUAAGUCCCUUGCUGUAGCCAUUUAAACAGAGUAGUAUUCCUGAAGACACGAGCAUCAUGAACCCUUCCAGGCCAGCCGACGUUGAUGUUGGUGAAACGUCCUUUGUGAUCCACCAGUGCUUGCAGCACCAUUGAAAAGUACCGCUUGCGGUUUAUGUACUGGGUACCCUAGUGCUCUGGUGCCAAGAAAGGGAUAUGGGUUCCAUCUAUUUCCCCACCACAGUUAGGGAAUCCGAUUGCAGCAAAGCCAUCCACUAUGACCUGCACAUUUCCCAGAGUCACUACCUUUCAUAGCAGCAGCUCAGUGAUUGCUUUGGCUACUUGCAUCACAGCAGCCCCCACAGUAGAUUUGCCCACUCCAAAUUGAUUCCCUACUGACCGGUAGCUGUCUGGUGUUGCAAGCUUCCACAGGGCUAUUUCCACUCGCUUCUCAACUGUGAGGGCUGCUCUCAUUCUGGUAUUCUGGUGCUUCAGAGCAGGGGACAGCAAGUCACAAUGUUCCAUGAAAGUGCCCUUACGCAUGCGAAAGUUUCGCAGCCACUGGGAAUCGUCCCACACCUGCAACACUAUGCAGUCCCACCAGUCUGUGCUUGUUUCCCAGGCCCAGAAUCGGCGUUCCAUGGAUAGAACCUGCCCCAUUAACGACAUGAUCUCCAAAGCCCCGGGGCCCACGCUUUGAGAGAAUUCUGUGUCCGUGUCCAUAUCCAUCUCCUCAUCACUCUUGUCACUGCGCUGCCAUCGCCGCCUCCUCCUCACCUCAUUUUUCUGGUCUUGGUUCAGCAUAAACUGCAUGAGAAUUCA